rnacentral:rRNA from 1 species
GGCGGACGGGUGAGUAACACGUAGGUGACCUGCCCCAAAGCGGGGAAUAACCAUUGGAAACGGUGGCUAAUACCCCAUGUGCUCGAUAGUUCAAUCUGUCGAGUAAAGCUCCGGCGCUUUGGGAUGGGCCUGCGGCCCAUCAGGUAGUUGGUAGGGUAAUGGCCUACCAAGCCAAUGACGGGUAGGGGGCGUGAGAGCGUGAUCCCCCACACUGGCACUGAGACACGGGCCAGACUCCUACAGGAGGCAGCAGUGAGGAAUAUUGCCCAAUGGACGAAAGUCUGAGGCAGCAA